AAGGGAGACACUGGACGCCAGGUGGUUCCAGUAGUUGGGAUGGCAGGACUGGGGAAAACUACCUUGGUGAAGCAAGUGUACGAGGAUCCAAAAGUUCAGAAACGUUUCAAGGUACAUGCUUGGAUCACUGUUUCUCGAUCAGUCAAGAUAAAUCAGCUCCUAAGACGCAUGAUCAAUAAAAUCUUCAGAGUUAUCACAAAACCAGAUCCUGAAGAUGAAGAAGUUGAAACCAUGGAUGACAACCAGCUAAGAGAGAGAAUCAAAAAAUUGCUGCAGAAUAGUAGGUACCUGAUUGUUCUUGAUGAUAUAUGGCAUAUACAGGACUGGGUAGCCAUCAAUCAUGUAAUGCCGAACAACGAUCGUGGUAGUCGAGUAAUGCUCACUACUCGCAAUGUUAAUGUAGCCUCUGCAUCUUGCUUGGGGAACCCUGCUG
rnacentral:lncRNA from 1 species